rnacentral:rRNA from 1 species
GUGGGGGAUAUUGCACAAUGGAGGAAACUCUGAUGCAGCGACGCCGCGUGAGGGAAGACGGUCUUCGGAUUGUAAACCUCUGUCUUUAGGGACGAAAAAAUGACGGUACCUAAGGAGGAAGCCACGGCUAACUACGUGCCAGCAGCCGCGGUAAUACGUAGGUGGCAAGCGUUGUCCGGAAUUACUGGGUGUAAAGGGAGCGUAGGCGGGGAGACAAGUUGAAUGUUUAAACUAUCGGCUCAACUGAUAGUCGCGUUCAAAACUAUCACUCUUGAGUGCAGUAGAGGUAGGCGGAAUUCCUAGUGUAGCGGUGAAAUGCGUAGAUAUUAGGAGGAACACCAGUGGCGAAGGCGGCCUACUGGGCUGUAACUGACGCUGAGGCUCGAAAGCGUGGGUAGCAAACAGGAUUAGAUACCCCGGUAGUCC